CCCGCCCAAGCUUCCCUUCUGCGCAUGUGCAAAGCAGUCUUCCGUCUGGCUUAGAGGUCUGAGCACUACAUACCUGUCACUCCCAUAUUGAGUGAGGAGGGUGAGGAAGCACAGAGAGCUCAACCCACCACCAUGUUCCUGAUAACACAUUGGUCAAUUUCAGAUUAACUACGUGGAUGGAGGAGAUUUUGGUCCAUUCAGCAUCUUUGCAAGUCAUCCGUUUAUUUAACAACUAGGUGCCCAGUGCACAAAUUCAUGCACCUUGAAAGGAACUGUGGGCCACGAGGCUGCAGUGAGCACCGGGCGUGAGUCUUGGCCCAUUCUCCACGCCCCCACCUGGCCCCUCCUCCUGAG